rnacentral:rRNA from 1 species
GCCUUUAAAGGGCCCUCCUUUGGUUUAUGUACUUGCCGGAGUUACGGCUCCCUCAAAGGGGAGAAUCCAUUACCGGUUUUGGAUAGGUGGAGCGUUUCCGUUGGAGGUCCGCCACGCCCCAAAUUCUUCCGGGAGCCCAGCUCUGGGGAUUGUUACCCAAGGGAAGUAAGUUUGACGGGGCAACGCCGCAUCAAGACAAACGGCCUUCGGGUUGUAAAGUUCUGUUAUACGGGACGUAUGGUGUUAGCGGUUCAAUACCCGUUACGAGUGACGGUACCGUAAGAGAAAGCCACGACUAAUUACGUGCCAGCAGCCGCGCGUAAUACGUAGGUGGGCAAGGCUUCGUCGGGAAUUAUUGGGUGUAAAGGGCGAGCAGGCGGCGUCGUAAGUAGGUCUUAAAAGUGCAGGGCUUAACCCCGUGAGGGGACCGAAACUGCGAUGCUAGAGUAUCGGAGAGGAAAGCGGAAUUCGUAGUGUAGCGGUGAAAUGCGUAGAUAUUAGGAGGAACACCAGUGGCGAAAGGCGACUUUCUGGAUCGACAACAUGACGCUGAGCGCGCGAAAGCCAGGGGAGCAAACGGGAUCAGAUACCCCCCUAGUCCUCUCUCUAACCGUUGAAUACUAGGUGUAGGGGGUAUCGACCCACUCUGUGCCG